rnacentral:rRNA from 1 species
AUUGAAGCUUGCUUCAAUUGCCGGCGACCGGCGCACGGGUGAGUAACGCGUAUCCAACCUUCCGUACACUCAGGGAUAGCCUUUCGAAAGAAAGAUUAAUACCUGAUGGUAUGAUGAGAUUGCAUGAUAGCAUCAUUAAAGAUUUAUCGGUGUACGAUGGGGAUGCGUUCCAUUAGGUAGUAGGCGGGGUAACGGCCCACCUAGCCAACGAUGGAUAGGGGUUCUGAGAGGAAGGUCCCCCACAUUGGAACUGAGACACGGUCCAAACUCCUACGGGAGGCAGCAGUGAGGAAUAUUGGUCAAUGGACGAGAGUCUGAACCAGCCAAGUAGCGUGAAGGAUGAAGGUCCUACGGAUUGUAAACUUCUUUUAUAAGGGAAUAAACCCUCCCACGUGUGGGAGCUUGUAUGUACCUUAUGAAUAAGCAUCGGCUAACUCCGUGCCAGCAGCCGCGGUAAUACGGAGGAUGCGAGCGCUAUCCGGAUUUAUUGGGUUUAAAGGGAGCGCAGACGGGUCGUUAAGUCAGCUGUGAAAGUUUGGGGCUCAACCUUAAAAUUGCAGUUGAUACUGGCGUCCUUGAGUGCGGUUGAGGUGUGCGGAAUUCGUGGUGUAGCGGUGAAAUGCUUAGAUAUCACGAAGAACUCCGAUUGCGAAGGCAGCACACUAAUCCGUAACUGACGUUCAUGCUCGAAAGUGUGGGUAUCAAACAGGAUUAGAUACCCUGGUAGUCCACACGGUAAACGAUGGAUACUCGCUGUUGGCGAUAUACUGUCAGCGGCUUAGCGAAAGCGUUAAGUAUCCCACC